rnacentral:sRNA from 1 species
UCUAUAAUUUUUUCAAAAACAAAAAAGUAAGUAUGAUGGCGUAUACGAUUGUAAGCCCUUGGACUGAUUUUCCCAAAAAGUGUAGCCUAUUUGUGAUAGUACUGGUAAACUCAAGGUAUAUACUAAGUGAGUUUUAAAAGAAGGAGCAAACGCAUGAAAAGAAGCGAUAGGUACUCAAACUCAAAUGAACAUUUUGAGCAUAUGAAACACGAACCUCACUAUAAUACGUAUUAUCAACCAGUUGGCAAACCGCCGAAAAAGAAAAAAAGUAAACGAAUACUAUUGAAAAUAUUAUUAACCAUUCUAAUCAUUAUCGCAUUGUUUAUUGGUAUCAUGUAUUUUUUAUCUACACGCGAUAAUGUGGAUGAACUAAGAAAAAUUGAAAAUAAAAGUAGUUUUGUGUC